AGUUGGGAGGUUGCCUUGUAAUCGGAAGGUUGCCGAUUCGAGCCCCGGCUUGAACAGUCUCGGUCGUUGUGUCCUUGGGCAAAACACUUCACCCGUUGCCUACUGGUGGUGGUCAGAGGGCCCGGUGCCACCAGUGUCGGCAGCCUCGUCUCUGUCAGUGCGCCCCAGGGUGGCUGUGACUACAAUGUAGCUUACCAUCACCAGUGUGUGAGUGUGUGUGAAUGGUUGGAUGACUGGAUGUGUAAAGCGCUAUACAAAUACAGGCCAUUUACCAUCAAAUAAAUAUCCAUGUAGAAUUGUUCAAAGUGACCAUUAUGUUCAUAGAUGUUAAAAAUACCUGAAAAUAAGAUGAGUUCAGUGACAGUUAGUGUUUGUUGUAAUCAAUUUAUUAAUAACAAAACACUUUUAAACUAAUGCAACACAUAUAACAAUGUCACAAAAUAUUCAAAUAAAUACAUUUCUUAAUGCAUAACUGAUUUUGGAACUGAUCUUUCAAGAAGUGAAAUCAGUCUGUCCAUCCUCUCCCUGAUCAAAUCGAUCGAUUCGGGACCUCGUGAAUCUGAACUGAAUCGAUUCUAGAAACAGUUAUAGCGUGAUGACUGGCAGGAGGAGAUCUCACCCUGUGUUUCUCUGCCUGUGGUAGAGGUGGAACCAGAUCAAGUGGAGCUGAUUCUUGAACAGCCUCAAGUCAGAGCUGGAUUGACCUUCUGUCACCAGGUACUGAUGAGCCCGCUGUGGAAAAACAUCACUGAUGAUGUUCAUGAAUCCCCAGCUGACUCUGAUGGAGUCAGAAGACAACAGUCACCUGAAGGGGCUGAAAAUUGUAAAGACCCUACAGAACAAUCAGUAAAUGUGAGUAAAUCUGUGAUUCUGCGAGUAACACACUGGGUUCAGUUUGGAGGUUGAACUCUCACUCACCAGGCCGACAGCCGUCUGUGCCACAGUUAAACUCAUGCAGUGCUAAUUUAAAAACUCUCAAAUAUUUUGGACAAUUUAUAUUUUUCUAUCACAAUAAAUACAAGUCUUCAAGUAAACACA